AGCCGCUGCACUAGAAAGACCCGAAGGUGAUGCUGAUAACAGCAGCUUUAUUUUAAGCAGCUUCUACUUUCUUUGCACUUGAGGUAAAGCAGAAGAUGAGGAAACUGAGGGUCAGUGAAGUUAAAUAACUUGCUCAGAACCAUGGAACUAGCAAGGGGCAAAUCUAGCCUUCAAAUCUUCAUCUUACUUUGAAGCCACCGUGUUACACAGUCACAUUCAAAUCUCUGUCGACAACCUCUGGACCCCAGGGUUUAAGAUAGGGAGACUGAAAAAAAGAAAGUGACAGCGUGUCUCACUGGGCUGAGUGACCAUAUUUAACAGCAGUAAAUAUUUGCACAUUGUUUCUGAAAGACUCACAGCAGAAAAUGAGAGAAACAUGGAGAAAAUAAUUAUUGGUGGUGAGAGGUUAUAAAGAGAUGAAUUUCUUCCAAGAUACAGUAAGAGGAGUCAGCCCAUCGCUUCAGAGGUGUGUUGGUAUGUACAUGUGUGGUUGGGGUAGGGACCACUAAAUUAACAGUGUGGGACAACAGAAUGUUAUGAUUCUAGCAGGGAUUAAAACUGAGAAGGAGAGAAACCAAAUACUUCUCAUUCAAUAAUAGAGGUUCCAUUGACUCCAUUUUUGUUUUGUUUUAGUUU